UACGUAGGGCGCAAGCGUUGUCCGGAAUUAUUGGGCGUAAAGAGCUCGUAGGCGGUCUGUUGCGUCCGCUGUGAAAACUCGGGGCUUAACCCCGAGCCUGCAGUGGAUACGGGCAGACUAGAGGUAGGUAGGGGAGAAUGGAAUUCCCGGUGUAGCGGUGAAAUGCGCAGAUAUCGGGAGGAACACCUAUGGCGAAGGCAGCUCGCUGGGACGUUACUGACGCUGAGACGCGAAAGCGUGGGGAGCAAACAGG
rnacentral:rRNA from 1 species